rnacentral:rRNA from 1 species
GACGAACGCUGGCGGCGUGCCUAACACAUGCAAGUCGAACGGAGGCGGGAGUUAGGAUUGAGGGAACAAAAAAUUGCGCCCUGAAUCCUGAUUCCUUGCCUAAGUGGCGGACGGGUGAGUAACGCGUGAGUAACCUGCCUUUUUGAGGGGGAUAACAUCGGGAAACCGAUGCUAAUACCGCAUAAAAUAUGAAAUUCGCAUGAGUUUUAUAUCAAAGGAGCAAUCCGCAAAAAGAUGGACUCGCGUCCGAUUAGCCAGUUGGCGGGGUAAAGGCCCACCAAAGCAACGAUCGGUAGCCGGGUUGAGAGACUGAACGGCCACAUUGGGACUGAGACACGGCCCAGACUCCUACGGGAGGCAGCAGUGGGGGAUAUUGCACAAUGGGGGAAACCCUGAUGCAGCAACGCCGCGUGAGGGAAGAAGGUUUUCGGAUUGUAAACCUCUGUCCAAAGGGAAGAAAAAGAUGACGGUACCUUGGAGGAAG